CCCUUAGAUGUUCUGGGCCGCACGCGCGCUACACUGACGAUGGCAACGAGUUUUUCCUUCGCCGAAAGGUGUGGGUAAUCUUUUGAAACAUCGUCGUGCUGGGGAUAGAUCAUUGCAAUUUUUGAUCUUGAACGAGGAAUUCCUAGUAAGCGCGAGUCAUCAGCUCGCGUUGAUUACGUCCCUACCCUUUGUACACACCGCCCGUCGCUACUACCGAUUGAAUGGUUUAGUGAGGACUCCUGAUUGGCGCCGCCGCCCCGGCAACGGAGCAGCGGACUGCCGAAAAGUUGUUCAAACUUGAUCAUUUAGAGGAAGUAAAAGUCGUAACA
rnacentral:rRNA from 1 species